rnacentral:rRNA from 1 species
CGCGUGGGUAAUCUACCCUCGAAUCUGGGAUAACCCUUCGAAAGGGGGGCUAAUACCGGAUAACAUUCAUUUGUUUUCGGACGGAUGGAUCAAAGGUGGCCUCUACAAGUAAGCUACUGUUUGAGGAUGAGCCCGCGUACCAUUAGCUAGUUGGUGGGGUAAGGGCCUACCAAGGCUACGAUGGUUAGCUGGUCUGAGAGGAUGACCAGCCACACUGGAACUGACACACGGUCCAGACUCCUACGGGAGGCAGCAGUGAGGA